rnacentral:lncRNA from 1 species
CCCGCUGAUCGGCGGGGCCGCCCCCCGCGCGGCGAGCCUCUCGCGGGCGCUCCCAGCUGCACGUGCUGCCCCCGCCGCCGCCCUCGCCAGACAAAGGGGGCCUUCCUGGGCGCCUUUCUUGGGAUCCCCCUUCCCUAGCAGACCCUUUGAUUCCUGAACCUCCUGCUGUCUUCAUCGCUCCUUUCUUCCCACCCCUCUCAGCUGCCUCCUGGAGUGUUGUCUUUUGUGCUUGCCACCUCAAGUUUGGCCUUCCCUCCAAAGCUGUCUUAACCAGGACUCCAUUUGGCCCCUCCCCCAGUCUGGCUCUUUGGUAGCUUUGCACAUUUGUUGUGAGGGGCGACUGCUCCCUUCUCUUUAUGUCUCUCAACUCCAUGUUACCUUUUCUGUGGUCCUGCCCCUUUCAUCGAACCUUCUUUCUAGCCUCAGCUGUCCAAGACCCUUCCAGAAACCCUUGGCAUCUCUCCCGCUGCCUCUUCCCACUUUUUCGUACUUUUUUUCCCCCCCAUGACCGGUGGGACAGAAAAAAAUUUCAAAUGACUACAUAGGUUGAAUCUCCCUUGCAUCUUCCGCUUUGCAAUCCCCCGGCCCCCCGCAAUUCUGAAAUCGCAUUAUUUGGGCUCUGUGAGUGGCGCUAUGGGAUUCUGUGGCUCUUGUGGUCACCAGUCUCUUUGCUUGGAAAUUCAAGUUGAAGGUAUCUACUGGGAACCAGCUCUGAAACACACUGAGGGCUAACUUUCUUACUCCAUCCCAGCUUCUCUUUGCUUUGUUUUACACUCCAUCUGUCUCUUUCAGACGAGACACACACACCUUUAGAACACACACACACACACACACACACACACACACACACACACACACACACACCCAUCACAUUACAUUGUUCAUCCUUUGGCAGUAACUCUGCAAGAGGAAAGGGCAGGUCCCCCUCUCCAGGAAGGAAGGUGGGGCAGGGUAGCUUCUGCAGGAAGGGAAGGAAAAAGGAGGGAAGGAAGGAAGUGGCCACCAAAGAAGGUGGAAUCUGUUGGGAGGGCUUUUUAUUCUUUUAACUUCUUUCCUUUUUAGUUGUGGAAAGGCAAGCCCAAGGCCAUCCCAGAACCAGGGUUCUGCUGCCAGUCUGCCAGGACCCAAGUGUAGGCUCCCAGAAUCCUGCCUCAAAACUAGACCUUGAGGAAACUGUAAACUAAGAGCAGGCGAGGCCAAGAGAAUGUAGCAUGUUCUCUCAGCCCCUUGAAUCACACAUAGGUCCUUCUGCAGCCAAUAGAACCAUGCCACAAAGAACUUUCUGGGCCUAACAGUGUCCCAAGCUGAGGUAUGGAGAGAAGUGGUUCCAGGACACACACACAGACAUAAAUCAAUGCAAGACAGACACAAAGCACCAGAGAGUUGAAGGUGGGUAGUCAGAAAUUCAAAGUCAUCCGGAGGCACAGGGCAGUUUGUAGGCUAGGAUGGGGUAUAUGCCACCCUGUCUUAAAGAACAAAAGCAAAUGUUAGGUGUGGUGGACACACCUUUAAUCCCAGUGCUCUGGAGGCAGAGGCAGGCAGAGCCUGUGAGCUUGAGACCAGCCUGAUCUAUAGAGUGAGUUCCAGGAUAACCAGAGCUAUGUAGAGAGACUCUGUCUCCAAAAGGAAAGAAAGGAGAAAAUUCACAGAAGAAGUCAGGAGGAAAUGACGUAGAAAAGAGCUGUCCCCUGAGGAAGCUGAGCUUGGGUGGGAAGAGAGAUCUAGGUGAGCACAGCUCAGUGGAGCCUUCAGUUUGUGAAAGCGUUUACAUUCAAAAUACUACUUCAGGGCCUGGAAAAUGCGCUCAGAUCUUCUGGGGGAUUCAAUUCCCAGAGCCCAUCUGACAAUUCACAGCUGUCUAUAACUCCAGCGCCAAGGGAUCCUAUGCCCUUUUCGGACCGACCUACUUGGUAGACCAGGCAUGAAUACAAUAUUCUUACAUACAUAUAGGCAAAACAUGCAUACACAUAAAAUAAAAAUAAAUGUAUGGAGAAACCAAGAUUAUAAUUAUUUAGGUGUGUGGGCACUCCUGCCUGCAUGUUGCACACAUGUGAAGUCAGAGGAGAUCUUACGGAGGAGUCGGUAAUCCAGGCACAAAAGUGUUCUCUGCCACGAUUCCAGCUCCGCAGUCCAGUCCCAAAGUGCUCUGUUACAGAGCGGAAGAGGCUUGCCCUCAAGGAUUCUUUUGCAUGGUGUACCAUCUAUUCGGCACACUAGCAGAUUACUUUCUCAUUGUCAGCCAAUGAAGUGGAGGUGGCUGGAAUUAGGGCAAGUAUGAACAGAGCUGUGGGGCUUGGCUGCCUUCUGAUGUCUCACUUGCCCUGUGAAGGACAGUGCUUCCUUGGGAAUCCAAGUCCCAAGACGAUUGAAUGUUUGCUCACGUUGCACUGUGGCAGAACCCCGCAGAGUGGCAUUAAAAACUAACCACCACCCAGAAACAACUUUUCUAAAGAUGAAGUUGUCUGUUUCCUAGACUGGCUCCAACUGCAUUAGAUAGCUGUUGUCAACCUUGACCUUUUGAUCCUCCCUCCCCAGUGCUGGGAUUACAGUUUGUUCCAGGAAGAAAGGUGCCAUGAGGAACGGGCCGAAUGAUCCCAUGACACAUAACAGUGAUGGGUGAAGACAGAUGAAUUGAACAAAUGAAAAGCCAUGUAGCAAUCUGAAUUAAAAAAAAAAUAAACACACACGUGAUGGAGAAAAUAAAACAAGAUAAGAUACACAGUGGCAAGGGGAAGGUGGCAGAAAGGACUUCCCUGGCUGGUGUGAAGAUGGGGGGUAAGGACCUUGAACAAGAAGAACAGUUUGGAGGAUAUUGGAGAGCCCCAGGAGAGUGGCAGUGGUGGCUUGGAUAGUGCCCACUUUGAACAACGGCAGAAAAGCUCCUGCCAGAGCUGAGCUUGUCACUGUCCUGGGGUCAGCUGGCCUCUGUGCUCUCAACAUGAGCCUUUGGUGGGUCAGGGAAGGAAGAGGAGGGACCGUAGGAAGAAAGGACAGGCUUCCAGAAACUCAGCCUGGGUGGACAUUGACUGCUGUGGGUGGAGCAGGAAACUGUGGCUUUGAGGGCUACAGGCAUCUUCUCCUCUACCAUAGGCAUGGUAUUGUGGACUGAAUCGGCCCAAAGGCCCCAGAGGACUCCAGUGGCAGGCCUAGGAGCAUGGUGUGGAAAGACCUCACUGAUGGGUGUGACAUGUGGCUGGGUUGGAACCUUCCCUCUCUACUCUGAAGCUUUCCUGGAGGUUCUUGAUGGGAAGUCUGCCAGCCUCUAGAAGAUUACCUGGAAAAGAAACUUUAAGUUGCAUCAACUGGCUCUCUAUCAUGCAUGGGGCAAGCCAUUUAACUUCUCCGAAUGUCGGUUUCUUUGUAAAAUAGGGUUCAUAAU